UCCUUAGUGUUGUCAUCCGGAUUGCUCCUCCUGUCGCCAAACUCCUCGUCCAGGUCCACAAAGCUCUUCCAGGAGGAGUGUUGAGAUUGUAGCGUCGCACCCGUAGGUAGAAUAUACGGGAAUCGUCGGUGGUAGUAUUUAGAGGUAUGUUAUGUUGUGCUUA